rnacentral:misc_RNA from 1 species
AACGACCGGUGCAGGUGCAACUCUGCUUGUUUCAGGAAAAAAAAAUCAGAAAAGCAUGAAAGAUAGAAGUCAACAGUAGGUUUUAUCCCCACACUAUUUCCAAUUCCAAAUUUCAGGGGUCUCAUUCUAAACUGUUAAGAACUGUUUGAUAAAGAGAACAAAAGGGUAACUGAAUAUCCAAGAAAGAGUGCAAUAUCCAUGACAAACAGGUCCAAAUGGAUGAGUAAUUGGUGACCAAUUUCAACACAGAACCGCCUUCUAUUUGUAUAAGCAAGAAUUGUAU